GCAGUGGUGGUUCAGUCGUAGAGUCCUUGCGUUCCAGGCAAGAGACCUGGGUUAGAUUCCUGGCCAGGGCA
rnacentral:tRNA from 1 species